AUUGAACGCUGGCGGCAUGCCUUACACAUGCAAGUCGAACGGUAACGCGGGGUAACCUGGCGACGAGUGGCGAACGGGUGAGUAAUAUAUCGGAACGUGCCCAAUAGUGGGGGAUAGCCCGGCGAAAGCCGGAUUAAUACCGCAUGAGACCUGAGGGUGAAAGCGGGGGAUUCGCAAGAACCUCGCGCUAUUGGAGCGGCCGAUAUCAGAUUAGGUAGUUGGUGGGGUAAAAGCCUACCAAGCCGACGAUCUGUAGCUGGUCCGAGAGGACGACCAGCCACACUGGGACUGAGACACGGCCCAG
rnacentral:rRNA from 1 species